rnacentral:rRNA from 1 species
CAGUCGCCGCGGUAAAACGAAGGGUGCAAGCGUUAAUCGGAAUUACUGGGCGUAAAGCGUGCCCAGGCGGUCUGUUAAGACAGAUGUGAAAUCCCCGGGCUCAACCUGGGAACUGCAUUUGUGACUGGCAAGCUAGAGUGUAGCAGAGGGGGGUGGAAUUCCGCGUGUAGCAGUGAAAUGCGUAGAUAUGCGGAGGAACACCGAUGGCGAAGGCAGCCCCCUGGGCCAACACUGACGCUCAUGCACGAAAGCGUGGGGAGCAAACGGGAUUAGAUACCCCUGUAGUCCCUGUCUCUUAUAC